rnacentral:rRNA from 1 species
CUGGGAGGGCCCUAACACAUGCCAAGUCGAGCGGAGAGUGGAGCUUGCUCCAUGAUUCAGCGGCGGACGGGUGAGUAAUGCCUAAGAAUCUGCCUGGUAGUGGGGGAUAACGUUCUCAAAGAACGCUAAUACCGCAUACGUCCUAAGGAGAAAGUGGGGGAUCUUCCGACCUCACGCUAUCAAAUGAACCUAAGUCGGAUUACUAGUUGGGGGGGUAAUGGCCCACCCAGGCGACG